rnacentral:rRNA from 1 species
CGUGCAGGCGGUUCUGUAAGUUGGAGGUUAAAUCCCCCGGCUCAACUGGGGGGCGUCCUUCAGAACUGCAGGGCUUGAGGAUGGGAGAGGGAAGCGGAAUUCCCGGUGUAGUGGUGGAAUGCGUAGAUAUCGGGAGGAACACCAGUGGCGAAGGCGGCUUCCUGGCCCACACCUGACGCUAAGACGCGAAAGCGUGGGGAGCGAACG